UACGAAGGGGGGCUAGCGUUGCUCGGAAUCACUGGGCGUAAAGGGUGCGUAGGCGGGUCUUUAAGUCAGGGGUGAAAUCCUGGAGCUCAACUCCAGAACUGCCUUUGAUACUGGGGGAUCUCGAGUCCGGGAGAGGUGAGUGGAACUGCGAGUGUAGAGGUGAAAUUCGUAGAUAUUCGCAAGAACACCAGUGGCGAAGGCGGCUCACUGGCCCGGAACUGACGCUGAGGUGCGAAAGCGUGGGGAGCAAACAGG
rnacentral:rRNA from 1 species